rnacentral:rRNA from 1 species
UUUAUGGAGAGUUUGAUCCUGGCUCAGAGUGAACGCUGGCGGCGUGCCUAAUACAUGCAAGUCGAACGAUGAAGCUUCUAGCUUGCUAGAAUGCUGAUUAGUGGCGCACGGGUGAGUAACGCAUAGGUCAUGUGCCUCUUAGUUUGGGAUAGCCAUUGGAAACGAUGAUUAAUACCAGAUACUCCCUACGGGGGAAAGAUUUAUCGCUAAGAGAUCAGCCUAUGUCCUAUCAGCUUGUUGGUAAGGUAAUGGCUUACCAAGGCUAUGACGGGUAUCCGGCCUGAGAGGGUGAACGGACACACUGGAACUGAGACACGGUCCAGACUCCUACGGGAGGCAGCAGUAGGGAAUAUUGCUCAAUGGGGGAAACCCUGAAGCAGCAACGCCGCGUGGAGGAUGAAGGUUUUAGGAUUGUAAACUCCUUUUGUUAGAGAAGAUAAUGACGGUAUCUAACGAAUAAGCACCGGCUAACUCCGUGCCAGCAGCCGCGGUAAUACGGAGGGUGCAAGCGUUACUCGGAAUCACUGGGCGUAAAGAGCGCGUAGGCGGGAUAGUCAGUCAGGUGUGAAAUCCUAUGGCUUAACCAUAGAACUGCAUUUGAAACUACUAUUCUAGAGUGUGGGAGAGGUAGGUGGAAUUCUUGGUGUAGGGGUAAAAUCCGUAGAGAUCAAGAGGAAUACUCAUUGCGAAGGCGACCUGCUGGAACAUUACUGACGCUGAUUGCGCGAAAGCGUGGGGAGCAAACAGGAUUAGAUACCCUGGUAGUCCACGCCCUAAACGAUGGAUGCUAGUUGUUGGAGGGCUUAGUCUCUCCAGUAAUGCAGCUAACGCAUUAAGCAUCCCGCCUGGGGAGUACGGUCGCAAGAUUAAAACUCAAAGGAAUAGACGGGGACCCGCACAAGCGGUGGAGCAUGUGGUUUAAUUCGAAGAUACACGAAGAACCUUACCUAGGCUUGACAUUGAGAGAAUCCGCUAGAAAUAGUGGAGUGUCUGGCUUGCCAGACCUUGAAAACAGGUGCUGCACGGCUGUCGUCAGCUCGUGUCGUGAGAUGUUGGGUUAAGUCCCGCAACGAGCGCAACCCCCUUUCUUAGUUGCUAACAGGUCAUGCUGAGAACUCUAAGGAUACUGCCUCCGUAAGGAGGAGGAAGGUGGGGACGACGUCAAGUCAUCAUGGCCCUUACGCCUAGGGCUACACACGUGCUACAAUGGGGUGCACAAAGAGAAGCAAUACUGCGAAGUGGAGCCAAUCUUCAAAACGCCUCUCAGUUCGGAUUGUAGGCUGCAACUCGCCUGCAUGAAGCUGGAAUCGCUAGUAAUCGCAAAUCAGCCAUGUUGCGGUGAAUACGUUCCCGGGUCUUGUACUCACCGCCCGUCACACCAUGGGAGUUGUGUUUGCCUUAAGUCAGGAUGCUAAAUUGGCUACUGCCCACGGCACACACAGCGACUGGGGUGAAGUCGUAACAAGGUAACCGUAGGUGAACCUGCGGUUGGAUCACCUCCUUU